GACUGUGAGGUCAGGCUUUUACCGUGUUUUCUCGCCUCUAUUCUCUCCUGCGAGCAAGGGCUGGUUUUAGCUCCUCUUGUUUCGCAAAGUUAGUGUUCAGACCGCCAGCUGACUCCUGGGAAGAAGCAUUAAUGUUGCAGCUGAAGGCCCCUAACAUAUUGGAGAUGCCAGUACCAUAGAAUGAUCACCAAGAACAACAGCAACAGUGGAGUGGAGUCAAUCUGCUACAGAGAAUGCUACAGAGGGCAGAGCUGGAGAAGUGACACAAGCCCUUUGGAAGAGCCCAGAAGAUCAUGUGUGGAUCCUAGAUACUGGAACAAGAAGCGGAAUUUCCUCCAGUAUUUUCAUAGCAACCUUCAGAUGAAAGUGUAGAACUCUCAGCUCCUCCUGCAUCAUGACUGCCUGGGGCUGCCAUGUUCCUGCCUUGAUGAUAAUGGACUGAACCUCUAAACCUGACUGGUUGUUCUAUUUCUGAGAUCUCUGAGACCCAGCCCACCAGGAACACACAAAUGUGGAACCGAGAUAGGCUGAGGACUUAUUAAACAGAAUUCUGCUGUUCCUAUCCCAGGGUUGGACCAAUGUGUAGAAAAUUGCUUAUGGGAUUCUUUGAAUGACUUUUUCAUUGCGGGAAAUAUUAAAAAUGAACCUGCCAACCUUCCACACUCCUGCUUCUUUCAAGCCACCAACUCAAGAGAUCUGUCUCUGCCUCCUACGUGCUGGAAUCAAAGAAAUUACUUCACUGCCAUUAGAGCCUACUUCUUCAGGAUUCUGCUUAUACUGAAAACCAUGUGGGACAUCCAGCCUUGUGGACUGAACAACUUCUGGCUUCUUGGACCUUUCACUGUUAGUCAGCCAUUGUUGGACCACAGCCUAUAAGUCGUUCUAAUAAAUCUCCUACAUAUAGA
rnacentral:lncRNA from 1 species